GAGUUUUCUGAUCAAUUUUUGUACCUAUAGGGAGAACAAUUACGAUAAUUUUUUAGGUUUUUUUCUUCGUAUUAUAACAUCCUCUCAAAGGUACUUUUCCAAAGGUAAAGCUUCGCUAACUAAGCGGCAAAAUCUAACCAAAACCUUACCCGAAGUGAAAUAAAAGAAAAUGGACACCGUGAGACGACACCAUAAAUGAAAAGGCGAAUAUGUCAAGCCAAACUUUUUGUUACGCAUAUAAAUCAGCUAACAAACAAAAAAUAAACAAAAUAAUUGUACAAAAGAAAAUGGUGGACAACAACAACUACGAAAAUAAGAUACUUGGUUACCUUACAGUGCUGAACUUUUUCUGCAAGUGUGUUAGUUGUACUGAACGUAAGAGAAACGUCAACAAUUCUACAAAAAUAAAAAACAAUUUCAGUCAUUGUCAACAUACAGAACAUGUUGGGCAUCAAAAAUACUCUUAGAAAUAAUUCUGUACGGAAAUUGUAGCGUCACUGUCUCAAAUGUAAUGGUACACUUUAAUUAGGAAAAAUAUCCUGAAAACAAAUAUUAUUUGCAGUAUUUCUCACAAGUUGAAUCGAGGUAUCUAUUCCCAAACAUGCAUAGGCAAAUCAGAAAAAAUAUUGACAUGCAUGUAGAAGAUUCAACAAGAAACAAUCCAAAAGAACAGGAAAUCUAAUAUACCCAAGGAAUGGUGAUUGCCAAAGAAAGUGAUGAAACAAAAGAAAGGUUGCAGAAGAAAUUAAACUCACCGAAACAAAUAUUCCAUUACUUUAUGAUGUGGACUGAUUGACCGAUCAAAGUAACAUGUAAUUCACCAAUUUUCAUUGAAGAACCUUUCAGGAUUUAAAAAAGAGAAUUUCUUACAGACUUUGGCAACAGUGUAUUAUCGAAGCAAACAUUAAAAAUAAUUAUGGUUCACUUCAUCUCCGUAGGGUGGAAGCAAUUUGUUUCCCCUUUCUCUCCUUUAUUUGUUUGUGUUCUAAUAGAUAAUAAGCACUAAAUAUAUCAUUCUGGCACAUUAACGAACACAUAAAAUAGGCUGACUUGUCUGACAAAAUAAAGAAUUUUUCCUAAAUUUAUUAUCUCAGUUGAUUUAUAUUCAUUCUCUCAAAUACAAUGCUUUCUUCUUACGCUUGGAGAACUCAUGAUGCACUAAUUUACUUUAAAUUCUUUCCCUCUCUACGUUAGAAAGGCUAUCAGUACUUCGUAUGACUCUUCUAAGAUACAAUGAUGCAAAAAAACCAAAUGUAAUUACAUACCCCCACCCAGUAUCCUCGUAAUAUAGAUCACAAAGGCUAAAUUUCCGUUGUUUAUUCAGUAGAUCAAAAUUUAACAGGUCGACAGCAGACUUUCUCCAGGAACAUGCCUGGAAUCUUGGAGCCAUUCAGUUGGAGAUAAGUUAUUUUUCAUUUUCUUCUAACACAUCAUAUAAUACAACACCCAGGUAAAAGUACCACGGUAAAAUAAUAUGAUUUUUCCAGCAAGAUUUUGGUACUGUACCUUGGUAACUGAUAAGGAAAAAUAACUGAAUUAAAUCAUUGUUCCAAGCAAAAAUCAUUCACCAAAUGUUCUGAAGGAAAAAUUACAAAAUUUUAACAACUCAUUUAUCUGCAUCCAUCCGUAAAUUUUAUGCCAUGUUUGGUGCCAACCACUUAUCUCUACAUUUCUAAUACUUAUUCAAGUAAAUUUAACAUGAAAAGAAAGAUGCAAGUUACAAAGUCUUGUUACAUAUUUCCAUAUCACUUCAUGUAUUAUAGCCUAAUUAUGCUAACACAACAACAACGCCUUGGAAAUUUGCACAGGCAUGAAUAGACUUACAAAGCAUACCCAACAUCCAUCUUUAUGUCCCUUCCACAGCCCAACAAAAAGGCUGGUCGCUCAUCGUAGACUGCAAUUUAACCCAAGUGAAAACAAGGAGGGUGGGGAUACAAGCUACCAGUCACAUGGUAAAUAAGAAUUUACUAAAAUAUUCUUUUAAACAUUAUUCCCAGAUUUCCCAACAAUUAUUUAUGGUCUAAUUGGUGGGCCUUUUGUUUUAAUCUUAAAGGGUAUACAUUAUAGUGACAACAACUUGAAUAGGUAUCUUAGUAUGAAUAUUGUUAUCUUUUUCAAGUACAAGGAUACAGAGAGAGAGAGAGGGGGGCAAAUAAUGCGAGAAGCACCAGAACGACCAGUUGUGUGACUAGCUUUAAGUGAAUACAAAUCUCCACAAGUUUAUUGAUUAAAGAAGAAAUUACAGCUCCUUUCUUUGAACAUGGUCAUAGGGGGAAAAGGCUACAACAGAUGAAGGUCGCAACUAAUAACUCUUGAGUAACAUACUGCAGUACACAGAAAUCUAAAGGAGGAGACAGAGAAGGAAACAAGAAGUACUCACUUGUUUCACCUAGCAAGCAGAGACACCAAAAGGAACAGAGUAGGAAGCCAUGAACCAAAAAAGAGGAAAAGAAAACCCAAACAGAACAGAAGGUAUUGCAGAUUUUAUUGGCAGUCACCCCUAAUCGGAUAUCCAUCCAAAAGCAGGCGUUACUUAUCUGGAAGAACAACUGACAGCAGCAGAAGCAAGAACCGAUUCGUCUUCCACGUCGAUAGAGGACGAGAAAGCGCGUAUUGAAGAGAGUGCGAA
rnacentral:lncRNA from 1 species